rnacentral:piRNA from 1 species
UACCACAGGCAAAGCAUCUAGACACA